rnacentral:tRNA from 1 species
GGAGGCGUAGCUCAGUGGGAGAGCACAUGACUGAAGAUCAUGGAGUCGCGAGUUCGAUUCUCGUCGCCUCCA